rnacentral:tmRNA from 1 species
CCCCUUCACAAGUCCGAAUGCCGUCCCUAUAUCGAAAGAGCCGGAGACGAUCCGGCUAUGGCAGUAAACGGCGCGUCAGAUAGGCGGAGCGGACCCGGGGGCAGUACCCGGCGCCUCCACCAGGAAUGCGCGAGCGUUUUCUCGUACCCUCGGCGGGCUACGAAAGACAGGCAUCGCGCACUGCUGAUGGGGGCGAAACAGGCUCGACGCACGCCGAAAGGCGCGACCUUCUGCCCGGCAUGGUACCGCCGUUACAGGGCCGAACCUACAAAUGCCAAUGACAAUGAGGCAUUGGCGCUUGCCGCGUAAUCGCAUGGCCUAACGGCCAGGAUUGCAAGGCAUUCGCCACGGUUUUGCGGGAUGCACCGGGUAACAGAAGCAUUCCCCC